rnacentral:rRNA from 1 species
UACGGGGGGAGCAAGCGUUGUUCGGAUUUACUGGGCGUAAAGGGCGCGUAGGCGGUCGUAUAAGUCGAAUGUGAAAGCCCCCGGCUCAACUGGGGAGGGUCAUUCGAUACUGUUCGACUCGAAGGCAGGAGAGGGAAGUGGAAUUCCGGGUGUAGUGGUGAAAUGCGUAGAUAUCCGGAGGAACACCAGUGGCGAAGGCGGACUUUCUGGCCUGUUCUUGACGCUGAGGCGCGAAAGCUAGGGGAGCAAACGGGG